UAUGUAGGGUGCAAGCGUUAAUCGGAAUUACUGGGCGUAAAGCGUGCGCAGGCGGUUCUAUAAGACAGAUGUGAAAUCCCCGGGCUCAACCUGGGAACUGCAUUUGUGACUGUAGAGCUGGAGUACGGUAGAGGGGGAUGGAAUUCCGCGUGUAGCAGUGAAAUGCGUAGAUAUGCGGAGGAACACCGAUGGCGAAGGCAAUCCCCUGGACCUGUACUGACGCUCAUGCACGAAAGCGUGGGGAGCAAACAGG
rnacentral:rRNA from 1 species